GUGAAUCAUCGAAUCUUUGAACGCAAAUUGCACUCUCUGGUAUUCCGGAGAGUAUGCCUGUUUGAGGGUCAGUAUAAAUAAAAAUCGGUGUGGUUGCUGCCAUUCGUGGUGACGCGCCGGAUUUGGGUCGUCUUGCCUUCGGUUAAGUGACCUAAAAUUUUACCUGUUUUUUUUCGUACGAAACUAAAUGAUUUUAUAUACGUUUGCGAUAU
rnacentral:misc_RNA from 1 species